UCCCUUUGAUGACUGAUAUCACUCUUAAACAUGAUGAUAAGAACACAUAGUAAAGAAGGGGCAGGGUGAAAAACACCACUUUUGGGUAAAGUGGCAAUGUGUUGUGUUGUUUAACUUCAAUCAGUGUUGUGACAAGA